rnacentral:rRNA from 1 species
AUUGAACGCUGGCGGCAGGCCUAACACAUGCAAGUCGAGCGAGCGGCGGACGGGUGAGUAAUGGAUGGGGACUGCCCGAUAGAGGGGGAUAACGACUGGAAACGGUGGCUAAUACCGCAUACUAUCGGAUAACCCAUAUGGAAUUAGCUAGUAGGUGGGGUAAAGGCUCACCUAGGCGACGAUCCCUAGCUGGUCUGAGAGGAUGAUCAGCCACACUUGUGCUGACACACGGCCCAGACUCCUACGGAGGCAGCAGUGGGUAAUAUUGUGCAAUGGGCGAAAGCCUUAUGCAGCCAUGCCGCGUGUAUGAAGAAGGCUUGCGGGUUGUAAAGCACUUUCGUCGGGGAGGCGGUACCCGAAGAAAAAGCACCGGCUAACUCCGUGCCAGCAGCCGCGGUAAUUC